GGUAUAAAAUGUCUUUUGUGUAAUAUUGUGUUAUCAUUGAAGUUCAAAUUCGAGAUACCUAUUAACAAUCCUGAGAAAUGAAUAUGAAUAAGUUAAUUAUUUUAACAGUUUUUGUUUUUGGAUUUGUCCUGAUGAUGAGCAUGGUUAAGGCCGAUGAAGGACACGGUGGAUCUAUUGUUAAAAAUCAUCAUCCUGGAUUUUCGUCAUUAUUUUCUCAAACUGCAAAUUUAAGGCCAUUCAAUAAGGGAAAUAGAAAUGAAACGGAAGGAAAUACGAGUAAUAAACAUGAGUUAGGCUCAAAAAUGCCAUUUAGAAGAAACAAAAAUGGACAAAAACCGAAUGAAAGUACUAAAGAAGAGAAUAAAGAAGAAAAUAAUUAAAAAUUUAAACUUUAAUUGACACACAUUUUAGUUAAAUUAAAAAAAAAUGUUGUCUUGAUUUUAUACUUAUUAAUUAUUUAAAAAAAGGUUGUUUCUUAUUGACCGCAAAAAUCGUAAUAAAAAGGCAAAAUUUGUUGUUGUUUUUAAA